rnacentral:rRNA from 1 species
UACGUAGGGUGCGAGCGUUGUCCGGAAUUAUUGGGCGUAAAGGGCUCGUAGGCGGUUUGUCGCGUCGGGAGUGAAAACUCAGGGCUUAACCCUGAGCCUGCUUCCGAUACGGGCAGACUAGAGGUAUGCAGGGGAGAACGGAAUUCCUGGUGUAGCGGUGAAAUGCGCAGAUAUCUGGAAGAACACCAAUGGCGAAGGCAAUGUUCUGGCUCGUUUCUGACGCUCAGGUGCGAAAGCCAGGGGAGCGAACGGG